rnacentral:lncRNA from 1 species
AUUUACAUGGCAAAAAAAAAGAAAAGAUUUGCUCUGGCAAAUGGGUGAGCAAGUUUAUGAACUUUGGACAUAUUGAGAUUAUGUAAGUCCUUGGACAGCAUUAAUAUAAUAUUAUCUAAUUUGUAAUAAAAGUGUAUACCCAUUUUAUUCAUUAAGUAUAAAUAUUUGGAAAGACGAUAGAUUUUAAGCCAGGUAUGGAGUGAACUGACACAUUCAUCCACAAAAGUCAGAUCAAGUUAAUGAAAAAAGAGAAGAUUGAGGUGUUACUAUUCAGUAGUACUUCUUUUUAUUUAUUACUUUAUUCAUCAGCACAUCCAGGAGAGCUUAAUAACUCGCUCUCCUAGAAUAAAAAUCCUAGUUGGUACUCCCACCAUGGCCAAUUUUAAGGACAAGGAACACUAAGUUACAAGGAAAUGACAAUAAUCAGUUCUCAUUAGAUGGUAAGGACAGGUGUGAACACUGUGUUACAGCUAACCAGGAGAAAAAGGAAUGUUACGGAACUUAAACUGCUUAGAAUGUUGAUAUAAUAAAGGGGGAUAGGGAAACAGCAAGCACUGAGGCUGGUGAGCCAGGCAGAAGUCAGAGUGGGAGGAGCCUUGAGGUCUCUCCAGGAGAUUCAGGGACCAUAGGAUUUGGUAGUGAUUCAGGUAUGGGAUGAUCAUGGCCCUCAUCAUUGUAGUGACCACAGUAUUUUGCAGGAAUCCAAAAAACAGAUGAUAGACAUGUCCGUAACCAUGAUAGUGCCCAUGGGAUUUUGUAGCUAUAGAGUGAAAAGAUGACAGUGGCCAUAUCCAGGGUAAUGUCUACGGGAAUUUGUGAAUAUCCAGGUAAGAAAUGAGUGUUUCUACUUAGGAAUUGAACAUGGGAUACUGAAGUUAUAAAGGUAGGAAAUGAUGAUAAACCUAACAGUGGGGGUGAGCAUGGUGUUUUCUAGAUAUCCAGAUAAGAGAGGAUGAUGGCCCUAACUCGAGUACCAAAAUUGGAUUUCCUCAGGUAAGCACAUAGGAGCUGAAGAUGUUUCUUACCAUGUUAGUGAACAUGGCAUUUUGUGCUAUUCCAGACAUGAUGGCGAACCUAACCACAAAAUGACCAUGAGAUUGUCAGGGGUCUAGUAAAGACAUGAUGGUGCCCUUAACUGUGAAGGUUAUGACGAAAUUUGUAGGUCAGUAAUUAAGAGAUGAUGCUGAUAAUAACCACAGUAAGGAGCAGGGGAUUUUGCAAGUAACCAGGUAAGAGAUGAUGGUAUCUCUAAAAAUAUGGUGACCAUGGAAUUUUGAGGAUAUCCAAUCAAGGAAUAAUGUGUUACUAGUAAUGGUAGUACCAAGGGAUUUUACAGUUACCCUGGAAAGAAAUGAUGUGUCCCUAGCAAUGGCAUUUAAUCUGGGUAAUUUGUAGGUCUUCAUGUAUGGUAGGCUUCUCUAAAUCUGGUAGAUCUCACGGGCUUCUGUAGGCAUCCACAUGAGAGAUGACGUGACACAAAUUGCAACCAAUUGCCACCAUUGUAACCUAGGUGUUUUAUAAGUAUCCAGCUUAAAGCUGUAGCUUUAUUUAUUCCUUGGAUGUAAGACUUUCAUGUUAUCUAUUGUUUUCUUUCUUUUUGAAACAGAGUCUGGCUGAGGUAAGUGCUGAUGUGGGCCUAAACCACAGCCUGCACCGUGGGACUGUCACAGAGACACAGUUGAGUGAUGAUGUGUCCCUACAGGCCUUACCACCAUUAUUUCCUUCAUACUUAUUCAGGUGAGAAAUGAUUGAGUCUUGUCUUGGUAAGUGAUGAUGGUGAUGAUGGUGUAGGCCUCCCUGUUGUUCCCGAUUUCGCUUCAGGUGUCCCUGACAUAUUCGAAACCGUGAGUUUUCCCUCUGCAUAUUUCAGAGACAAUGCCUAACCCCGUGUUCACAGUGGAACUUUGAAUACUUGGUAAUUAUCCGGUGUUCCUUCCCACAGCAGUGACCAUGGACAUUUUGCAGGUGUCCUGUAGAGAGAAAUGCUGUCUUCUGGGACCACCGCCCUGAGCUUGGGGGCCCCCACUAGCAUUCAGGUUCCCGGGAGAAAAUCCUGAAGAACGGGGGUCAUGAGCAGGGGACGUGUCUGCUAUCUGGGUAAGUGAUUGUGUGCACCAUAAACUUACCACGGACAACCUGAUCUUCACGUUUGUAGGUCAGUGAGGUUCCUUUCCCUGAACAGUUUACCAUGUGAUGCGUUUAUGGGUAUUCCGGUAAGAAAGGGUAGUGGCUCCUCGUUCUCCUUGCCAUGUAAUCCUAUUGUUUUCUGUCUUGGAGAGAACGUAUGAGGUAAGUACCCUGUGAGUGCUGAUGGAUUGGCACGUAACCAGGGAACUCCAGUGGCACUGUGCAUCACAGGAGUAACUAAGGUGGAUGUGCAGAGAAGACGGCCAGAGAAAAUGAAGUGUCCUAUGAUGUCCUACCCCUUGGAGCAACCACAAGCAUCCAGAAGUCAAGGGAACCCUCAUUAUGCUCGAGCAGGGGCACUCUGCCCAUAUCCAGAGAGGAGACAGUAUGGGCGUAAGCAGGCCAUGGACGAUCCAGUCUUCCGAUACACAGGAUAAUGUGCAUUGAACCUGAGUCCGUGUUGACUGUGGUAGAUGCGGGUGUCCAGGUGAAUUAUCCUACUCUACCAGACCACAGGAUGGAAUGAUAGUUCUGACACAUCCUCAGUCCAGAGCCGAUAGUGGCGCCAACAGUGGGGUGGACGUUGGAGUUCUGCCAGGAUCUAGGUAAGGUUGAUGGUUCCCGGAUGAUGGCAGUGACCAGCCUGUGCGGUGCGUGUCUUUUUCGUCUUUCAGGUAUGCCAAGUGGCAUCCCGGAAAACACCUGUCAGAUGCGUUUCUUCUGCUGCUGCUAGUCAUGAGAUCAAGGUGGGUCUGAGAAUGGCCAUUCAGAGGCCCUGGAUAGUAACCAGGUAAUGGAUGACACCAGUCCUAUGCCAAUACAGACCACUUGAACUUCAGAUUUCCUGGACAAAGAGGGCACUGUCCUUGACACAGUGUUUUUCCCAUGGUUUCCUGCAGGAGUCCCGUAAAGUUCUCUUCCUGUAGAGAGAUGUGUGUCAGGGCAUCACAGCAGGCCUUUCAAUCCUAGGUAAUGUGGGACAUUGCUGGGUGAGGUAUUUGGGAGAGAAAUGAUUGAGUCCUUACCAAUCCCAGGAUUUCUCCUGGUGUCCAGUCAAGAAAUAAUGGAUUUCUGCAUAGAUUUUGACCGUGUAUCACUGAAGUUGUGCAGAUAUUCCGAUAAGAAAUGUAGAGUCCUGGCUGAGCGCAGUGGCCCACGCCUGUAAUCCUGGCACUUUGGGAGGCCGAGGCUGGUGGAUCACAAGGUCAGGAGAUCGAGACCAUCCUGGCUAACACGGUGAAACCUCGUCUCUACUGAAAAUACAAAAAAUUAGCCAGGCAUGGUGGCGGGCGCCUGUAGUCCCAGCUACUCUGGAGGCUAAGGCAGGAGAAUGGCAUGAACCCGGGAGGCGGAGCUUGCAGUGAGCCAAGAUAGCGCCACUGCACUCUAGCCUGGGACAGAGCGAAACUCUGUCUAAAAAAAACCAAAAAAAAUGUAGAGUCCUUAUCACCUCUCAAAGCCAAGGGUUUUUCCUCUCUCUCUCUCUCUCUCUCUAUAUAUAUAUAUAUAUAUAAAUUUUUUUGAAAAUUCAGUUAUCUUUUAUUUAAAUUAUAUUUUAAGUUCUCAGAUACAUGUGCAGAAAGUGCAGGUUUGUUACAUAGGUAUGCAUGUGCCUUGGUGGUUUGCUGCACCCAUCAACCCGUCAUCUACAUUAGGUAUUUCUCCUAAUGCUAUCCCUCCUGUAGCCCCCCACCCCCUGACAGGCCCCGGUGUGUGAUGUUCCCCUCUUUCUGCCCAUGUGUUCUCAUUGUUCAACUCCCACUUAUGAGUGAGAACAUGUGGUGUUUGGUUUUAUGUUCCUGUGUUAGUUUGCUGAGAAUGAUGGUUUCCAGAUUCAUCCAUGUCCCUGCAAAGGACAUGAACUCAUUCUUUUUUAUGGCUGCGUAGUAUUCCAUGGUGCAUAUGUGCCACAUUUUCUUUAUCCAGUCUAUCAUUGAUGGGCAUUUGGGUUGGUUCCAAGUCUUUGCUAUUGUGAAUAUUGCUGCAAUAAACAUACGUGUGCAUGUGUCUUUAUAGUAGAAUGAUUUAUAAUCCUUUGGGUAUACACCCAGCAAUGGGAUGGCUGGGUCAAAUGGUAUUUCUGGUUCUAGAUCCUUGAGGAAUAAUCAAAACCACAAUUAGAUACCAUCUCACGCCAGUUAAAUUAGUCCUCUUUAUAUUUUAAGAAAACAUUUGUUUUGCCCUGUGAGUGUUGUUGGAUUGCACAUAUUCAGAUUAUCAUGAGAUAUUCCCAUCUGCUGUAGUAAACGUGGAAAUUUUGAAGGUGUCUGACAAUAGUUUUGGUCCUGGAGUACUAAAAGUAUCCAGAUAGAGUUCAUGUUUUCCAUAGUGAUAAAUGCAACCAAAGCUAUUAGCAAGUUGUACUGCUAGAACAUGUUACGUGUUUUUUACACAUAUGUCAUAAUAUGUUUUUCAGAUUCCUGGAAGAAAUCCCAAUGAACAGGGGUCAUUAUCAGGCCACAUUUCUGGUAUCUGUGGUAAGUAAUGAUGUUCACUUUAACCCCAUCACAGACCAUUUGAUCUUCAUAUAUCUAGGUAAGUGAUGUCUGUUUACGUGAACUGUUUAUCAUGUGCUUUUAUAACAGUGAUUUUUGUAAGUAAUGACAGUAUUUCUAGUUCUAGUGACCAUGUUAUAUUGUUUUUAAUUUAGAGAAAACUUAUGGUUUACGCUGUGAGUAUCAAAUGAUUUGCGUGUACACAGAUAACAACGUGGUGUGCUUCAUAGUAGUAACUGUGGUAUCCUUGCAGAUAGGUAGUCAAGAAAAAAUGGUGUGUCCUUCAAGGUUGUAGACCUUGGGAAUACUGCAAAAUUCCAUGUAGAUUUAUGUCUUCUGCAAUGAUGACAGCCAACAAGUUAUUUGCAGGGUUCUGGUGGAAGAGUUGUGUCCACAGACACAUUUGUCAUAAUGUGGUUUCAGGUUCCUCUCAAGGGGUCAUGGGAAACCUCAUCAUGAUCAACAAUGGGACAUUGCUGGUAUCCAAGCCAAUUAUGAUGUGGGCCUUAAACACCCUACAAAAAUGUGAUCUACAGAAAUGUAGGUAACUGUAGAUGGUUUUCCUAAUUUUUGUGUUGCCAUAUUUUGUGCAGGUAUUUAGUUAAGGAAUUAUAUUUUCCCAACCAACGCAGGUAAGCAUCAGUCAUUAUUUUAGAGUUUAGUUAUAAUGUGUUUAGUCUUAUAGUGAGGGAGGGAUAUGCAGGUAUCCAGGUAAGUUUUCCUACUGUUUCCCACCACGUUAUUGACCAUGAGACUUCAACAUCAUCAAGAGAUGAUGGUGCCACUACAUUGUUGACAUUGAAGUCAUGGCAAAUCCAAGUAGUGUUGAAGGUUCCCUGCUGAUGGAAGUGCCCAGAAUUAUUUGUGUCUUGUCUUUUUUUAUGUAAAACAAAUUGUUUCCUUAAACACACUUGAGCAAUGUGUUUUUUAGUUUUCUGUAAUGAGCUCACAAUCAAGCUUAACAAUAGUCAUUAAUGGAACCGUGCUGUAACCUGCUAAUUGAGAAAGUGUGUUUCCCACAAUCAGACCAUUAGAUCUUUAUAUUUCCAUGUAAGUGAGGAUGGUGUCCUUAACACUUGUCUACCAUGUAUUCCUGCAGGUAUCCUGUUAAGUUCUUUCCUAGUAUACAGGUAGAAGAUUAUGUGAUAUUAACACAUUAGCAACCUUCCUAUUUUCAGAUAUGUAGGUGAUUAAUGAUUUUUUUGAGACUCUUCUUGUAACCUUGUGUUUGUCAUGCAUGCAGUUAAGAAAUUACUUUUUCCCUAACAUUACUAGUAAGAGUGAGAUUUUACUGUGUUCUUGUUUAGACAUAAUGUGUAUUUAUCAAUUGUAGUGAUAUAUGGAUAUGCGAGUAUCCAGGUAAUUUAUCAUAUUGUCCAUCACUGUAAUGCUGAGAUUUUUGUAGGUAUCACUUCAAGAGAGGAAAGUUUCUCUUACGAGUGUUUUCCCUUGGCAUUAUGCAAGCAUCCAGUUACCUUUGAUAGGCCCUGAAAUGAUGAAAGAGACGAAGGGAAUUUGCAGGUGUACAGGUAGAAUGAGACAUUUAGGAAACACAUUUUCAACAGUAUAUUUUUUAGGUUCAUUUGAAGAGGUCACAGUGAGCCUAUCAGUAAUAGUUAACAGGGGUCAUUGCUCGUAUGGAUGUGCAUGAUAAUGUGGGCCUAAAACACAGCCCAGCCCAUCUGAUCUUCCCUUAUAUAGGUAAGUGGUGGUGUCCCUAACACUUCUGUUACUAUGAUUUUGUUGUAGCUGUUCAAGUAAGAAAUGAUAGAGCUCUUACCAAUUUAAAAAAACAUUAUUUUUCUCACUUUUUAUAUUUUAGAAUAACUUUAUGAUUAACCUCUGAGUUUUGAGUGAUAGUGCCUAUCCUGGUUAUUGGUGUUUCUUACCACAGCAGUAACCAGGGGAUUUUUACAGGUGUCCUGUCAAGAAAUGACCGUCUUACCUGACAGUGGUAUUGAUCUUGCAUUAUUACAAGUAUCCAGGUAGAGUUUAUGUGUUCUGUAAUGAUGGAGUGACGAAGGUUAUUUUCAGAUGUCUUGGUGGAAAUGUUUGUGUCCUUUAACACAUAUUUCACAAUGUGUAUUUCAGGUUUCUGUAGUGAGACCCUGAUAAACCUAACAAUGGUUGGUAUGGCAGACAUUUCUGGUAUGCAGGCAAGUGAUGAUGUGUUCUUUAACCACAUCAUAGACCAUCAGAUCUUCUUAUAUCUUUUUUUUUUUUUUUUUUGACAGAGUCUCGCUUUGUCACCCAGGCUGGAGUGCAGUGGGGUGAUCUCGGCUCACUGCAGCCUCCACCUCCCAGGUUCAAGCGAUUCUCGUGCCUCUGCAUCCUGAAUAGCUGGGAUUACAGGUGUGCACCACCACAUCCUGCUGAUUUUUGUAUUUUGAGAGAUGGGGUUUUGGCACGUUGGCCAAGCUGGUCUCGAACUCCUGGCUUCAAGCAGUCCACCCACCUUGGCCUCCCAAAGUGCUGGAAUUACAGGCGUGCACCACCACGCCCGGCCAGAUCUUCAUAUAUCUAAGAUCCUGUCAAGAAGACAUGGUAAACCUCAUCAUGAUCAAGAAUGAGACUUUGCUUGCAUCCAGGCUUCCCAAAAGUUGUUUGAUAGUAUACAGGCAUGAGAUGGUGUGACUCUAACUCAUUAGAUGCCUUCGUCUUUUCAGUCAUCAUGUGAUGGAAAGAAAGCUAUCAACUUCAUUCCUGAGACUUCCUGCAACACAGAUCCAUCUAAACUUUUACUUCAUUGGAGGGUCCUUCCUGACCCAUGCAACUCAACAAAAAACUCUCACAGUUUUUAUAUGCUUUGUUGGGGAUUAACCCAUCUUGCAUUGCAUUGCUAGCUUAGUAUGUCUAGCAUGGGCAUGCCUGCUGAAGUUUGGAACUUCCCAUCAAGGAAACAGGAAAAUGCCAUUGGCAAUGAGCUGAAGACUGAUUUACUCUACCAGUUUGGAACAUCUGUUAUUGCUGCUACUACGGUUUCUAUCACUGUUUGAUGCUGGGACUCUUAAGCUCCAACCACGUUUUCACCGAGCUGAGUCGCCUUCUUAUCACCCCUUUCUGGAGCAGCAGGACAUCUGGGGAUGAGAAGAUGGAGAGAUCAUCCUUAUAUAAUGUUGCAGUCUGGAAGCAUCACUCUCAAAAAGCCAUUGUAGAGAAUCCAAGCCGAGUUUAAGAGUGCUGUGGAAAUACACUGCUGCUACUGCUGUUUCUAUUACUGUUUGAUGCUGGGACUCUUAUGCUCCAACCACGUUUUCACCCAGCUGAGUCGCCUUCGUAUCACGCCUUUCCAGUUCAACAAAGUGUGGACAGCUGUGCAGAAAUAUGAUUGGACAAAAAUGUUGUGAUCUAAAGCUAAUGGACUGAGUGUGGAAACCCAACAAGGCCUGUCUGUCUAGAUUCUUCUUGGCCUCUCUGAGCAGCGUUCCUUCCUUCUGGGUGUAAGGCAAGACCCUCUCUGGAGUGGGGGUGUUAUGACCUACAGUCAAACAAGGUUUUGAUAGACUAGAAAAAUGACAAGACUCCAAGUCCUUGAAGAGGAGGAAAAGUGUGAAGAAAACAAAAAAGGGAGAUUUAUGUCUGCUUCACCAUUUUGCCCAAGACUUGACCUGUCAUACACUGAAGCUCAGAGAGGAAGAAAGGACCGUGUGAGAGAAGAAGGGAACAGCCUUUCAUCCAUAGGAGAAGUUCGUCUAUGACAAAGCCACUAGCUCCAUGUGGCCGCUGAGCACUCAAAAUGUGGCCAGUCUGAAUUGAGAUAUGUUGUUAGUAUAAAGUCCACAUCGGCUUUUUGAGCACUUUGUAUGAGAAAAAAGAAUACCAAAUAUCUCCUUAAUAAUUGUUACAUUGAUUAUAUGUUGAACUGAUAACAUUAUGGAUAUAUUGGAUUAAAUAAAAUAAAUUAUUAAAAUCAAAUAAAAAAUAAAAUCAAUUUCACCUGUUU